GAUUUAUCGCUAUUAGAUGAGCCUAUGUUAGAUUAGCUAGUUGGUAGGGUAAAGGCCUACCAAGGCAGUGAUCUAUAGCUGGUCUGAGAGGAUGAUCAGCCACACUGGAACUGAGAUACGGUCCAGACUCCUACGGGAGGCAGCAGUGGGGAAUAUUGGACAAUGGGCGCAAGCCUGAUCCAGCUAUGCCGCGUGAGUGAGGAAGGCCUUAGGGUUGUAAAACUCUUUCAGUGGGGAAGAUAAUGACGGUACCCACAGAAGAAGUCCCGGCAAACUCCGUGCCAGCAGCCGCGGUAAUACGGAGGGGGCAAGCGUUGUUCGGAAUUAUUGGGCGUAAAGGGCAUGUAGGCGGUUCGGUAAGUUAAAGGUGAAAUGCCAGGGCUUAACCCUGGAGCUGCUUUUAAUACUGCCAGACUCGAGUCCGGGAGAGGAUAGCGGAAUUCCUAGUGUAGAGGUGAAAUUCGUAGAUAUUAGGAGGAAC
rnacentral:rRNA from 1 species